rnacentral:rRNA from 1 species
UACGAAGGGUGCUAGCGUUGUUCGGAAUCACUGGGCGUAAAGCGCGCGUAGGCGGUUAUUCAAGUCAGGGGUGAAAUCCUUGGGCUCAACCCAAGAAUUGCCUUUGAAACUGAAUGACUGGAGUAUUGGAGGGGAUAGCGGAAUUCCUAAUGUAGAGGUGAAAUUCGUAGAUAUUAGGAGGAACACCGGUGGCGAAGGCGGCUAUCUGGCCAAUUACUGACGCUGAGGCGCGAAAGCACGGGGAUCAAACAGG